GGGUUGGAACUCUCAGCCCCAUCGCCUUCACCACAUCUCCAAGGUGGGGAGAAGGGCUGAAGAUUGAGUUCAACAUGGGGUUCAGAGAACUCCCAGAAGCCAGGAAGUAUCAAGAGCCUUGGACAUCACUGGGAAACUCCAUGCCUCACGCUGGCCCCAGUCCACAGGAAAGACUGAAAAGAUGAACCAAGAAACUACUUAACCUGGGACAAGCUCCGUGUUCCCGUCAGAUGUUGCACUCCACCACACCAAGGCAGGUGACCAAGUUCUCCUUAAGUCUUGGAAGGAGACUUCCAGAGGAUCAACUACCCCCCAAGUGGACCAGGCAUUAUGAAGCCCUCCUGACCACCCACCCAUCAGCCAAACUGGCCAGAGUCAAGCUGCAGACUCAUCACACCCGAGUCAGUCCUGGCUCCCCACCCCAUGACCAGAGAACUCAGAAGCUGAAAAGAAAAUAAACUGGUCUUUUGAGCUGCUGAAAGACCUUAAGCUGCUGUUAUGGAUUAAGGCAGCUGACAUCAAACAGUCAUAUAAGUAAAAUGAGUCAGGUUCCGGCAUUUUGGGUUCUGGAAUUUUGGGUUAAUCAAAUAUGGAAUAACCUGCUGUUCUAAGACUGUAGAGAAAGGCACUCAAACAAUGCAAAGGGCAUCAGAUCUGAAAUACAAGCAGCAACAGGAGAAUAUGAAGAGGAGGAGUCUUAAAAGUCAACUCAAAAAACGGGUUGUAGAGACUCCUCAUCCUGAGGUGUGAGGGAGGUGAUUUAAGACAAGGCGAUAACCCACCUGAAGCCAAGCCUUAUCUGUGUCCAGCCCUGCUCGCCUGACUGGGGAAGACCAAUCGACAGUUCUUGAAGGUAAACCAGAGUCGAGCUGCAUGGUAUCUUCUCGAGGUGGAGACUGGGGGGCUGUUGACCAAUCAGCUGAAAGGACCAGCGUAACAGAGCCAGCAACUGAGAACUGAGACAGCUGGGACAGAAGUCAGCCUACCCCACAACAAACUGGAAAACAUCGAGAAGACUAUCACACAUACAGAACCAACGUCCAGCGCCACAUCUGCACAUUCACUUGCUCAUGAAGCCACACCUGAAUCGAGAUCUCUCCCGCAAGUGUCUGAAGACGAGGAUGAUGGGCUGCGCGUCACCUGCUGCGCGUCUUGGCCCUGACCACAGUGGGAGCUCACGAAGACCACUCUAACCUACCUGAGAUGUUUUUCAAUGCUGGAUUUAAAGGAAAAACAUCAAGUAAAU
rnacentral:lncRNA from 1 species